rnacentral:rRNA from 1 species
AUCCUGGCUCAGGACGAACGCUGGCGGCAUGCUUAAUACAUGCAAGUCGAACGUUGAAGCMCYUYUGCUUGCAGAGUGCGGAAUGAGUGCCGAACGGGUGAGUAACACGUGGGAAAUCUGCCUAAGAGUGGGGGAUACCAUUCGGAAACGGAUGCUAAUACCGCAUAUAUUCUCGACCGCAUGGUUCUGGAAAGAAAGCGGCUUUGCUGUCGCUUUUAGAUGAUCCCGCGGCGUAUUAGUUAGUUGGUGGGGUAACGGCCUACCAAGACCAUGAUACGUAGCCGACCUGAGAGGGUGAUCGGCCACACUGGGACUGAGACACGGCCCAGACUCCUACGGGAGGCAGCAGUAGGGAAUCUUCCACAAUGGGUGCAAACCUGAUGGAGCAAUGCCGCGUGAAUGAAGAAGGUCUUCGGAUCGUAAAGUUCUGUUAUUAGAGAAGAACAAGUCGAGGAGUAACUGUCUCGACUUUGACGGUACCUAACCAGAAAGUCACGGCUAACUACGUGCCAGCAGCCGCGGUAAUACGUAGGUGACAAGCGUUGUCCGGAAUUAUUGGGCGUAAAGGGAGCGCAGGCGGUUGGAAUAGUCUGAUGUGAAAGCCCACGGCUUAACCGUGGAAGGUCAUUGGAAACUGUCCAACUUGAAUGCAGAAGAGGUAAGUGGAAUUCCAUGUGUAGCGGUGAAAUGCGUAGAUAUAUGGAGGAACACCAGUGGCGAAGGCGACUUACUGGUCUGUAAUUGACGCUGAGGC